rnacentral:sRNA from 2 species
UGGCACCGACGCAGGCCCUGGGAUCAGGAUUCUGGCGACGCCUGGCCUAUGAAAUAGGCAACAUCACUUUGGGAAAUAUAUUACUCAGUAUCGGGUCGAUAGGAAACGCCCAUUCGUGGUGAUUCAUUUUCAACGAGUCAAAAUGCCCUCGAGUAGGCCAGUGGAUCUCUUGGCAUUUUAUAGCAGGUGCGACUUCCACUGGACAACGUUCCUUGCCAACACGAGGAAGAUCUGAGGAAACCAGCUGAAAACAUACAUAAGCCGGAGCUAUAGAUUUGCGUUUUACCCACUCCUAGACAGCUUCAAGAACUGUGUGGAUAAAAACUUCCCCCGAUAUCUGUCAAG